rnacentral:sRNA from 1 species
AUGGCGCGAAAUUCAAAAUUCAGCGGAAAUAAAAAGGUUAGAGCGCGAAAUUCAAAUAUACAAAAUAGAAAUUUUGAAACUUAUCAAGAACAAAAAUCAUUUGAAAAUGCAUCAGAAAACAAAAUUGAAAAUGAAUCUGAACAAGUAGAAACAUUUGAAAUUAAUUUAGCGGGAAAUCCAAAUUCUUGUUUGAUUAAAAUUGCACAUAUGAAAGUUAGAAGUUUAAUUGACAGUGGAGCUUCAGUAUCUUUAUUGCAUAAUAAGAUUUACAAUUCAAUUAAGGGAUUACCAAAAUUAGAAAAAAAGAAAGUCAAUUUACAAGGAGUUAACGGGGCUUCUUUAAAUGUUUUAGGAAGUAUAAAUUUAGACUUUAACAUGAAAGGAAACAAAAUGAAUCAUACUUUUUAUGUAGUAUCUGACAUGAACAGAAAUGCAAUUUUGGGUCGUGACUGGUUAGUCAAAUUUGGUGUUAGAGUUUAUUUUGAUUUGGGAUGUUUAAGGAUAAAUAAAACUUAUGUACCAUUAGUAGAAGAUAUUCAUAUAGCUUCAAUUGUUAGACUUGCUCAAACCACUGUCUUCAAACCUCAGACUAGUAAUAUUUGUUAUGUAAAAGGUAAUAAAAAUUAUACAUUCUCAAGUUCUAAAUCUUUUGAAAUUUCACCAAUUACCAAGGGGCAUUUGAGUUAUCAACCAGGUUUAAUGGUUGCUAAUUCAGUUGCAAACAUUAAUGAAAAGCGUCAAAUGCCAGUACUUAUAGUUAAUACUACGAAUAGAACUUAUAAGUUUAGAAGGGGCAUAGCAAUAGGAAGGGCUUCACCAGUUUUAGAAGAAAAUGUUGUCUCACUUGAAUCUACUCAAGAGCACUCUGAAAUUGAGAAUGUUUUUGAAACUGAUCUUAAUGUUCCUGAUGUUCAUAGGGGUAGGGUGUUACAACUGUUGAAUAAUAAUAGAGAUGUUUUUGCUUUUAAGGAUACUGAAUUAGGUCAAACUGACACUGUGAAAAUGAGAAUCGAUACAGGGGAUAAUCCCCCGGUUAAAUUGAAACCUUAUCGAACUCCAUUACACAAAAGAGAAAUAGUCAAUAAAGCAAUAACUGACAUGUUAGAAGCAAACAUUAUAAGAAGAUCUAAUAGUAAUUAUUCCUCACCAGUUGUAUUAGUUGAUAAAAAAGAUAAAACUACACGCUUUUGCAUAGAUUUCAGGUCCCUGAACUCUUCUACGUUAGCAAUCCGAUAUCCACUUCCGGUUAUCGAUGAUAUAUUGACACUUUUAGGGGCUGCAAAGUUUUAUUCAUUAAUCGACCUUAGGGCAGGAUUCUGGCAAAUUAAGAUGGCGGAAGAAGAUAAAUCAAAAACAGCAUUUGUUUGUCAUAAGGGACUUUUCGAAUUUAAUGUUAUGCCAUUUGGAUUGCAAAAUAGUCCUGCUGUAUUUAGUCAACUAAUGGAAAUAGUGUUACAAGAUCUAAAUUUUGCUAUCUCCUAUAUAGACGAUAUUUUGAUAUUUUCUGAAACUUUGGAAGAACAUUUCAAUCAUAUUCAACAAGUAUUUGACAGAUUAAGACAACAUAAUUUGAAAUUGAAAUUAAAGAAAUGUCAAUUUUUGCAGGAAGAAACUAAUUAUUUAGGUUUUAAAAUCAAUAUCGACGGUGUAAAACCGGACGAUGCCAAAGUUGAAGCAAUAAAAACAUUACCAAACCCUGUUACUGUUAAGGAAGUAAGAAGUUUUAUAGGGGCGUGUUCAUACUAUAGACGCUUUAUCCCUAAUUUUUCAAAGAUUUCUAUACCUUUAGUUGCUUUAACUAAAAAAUAUGCUAAAUUUCAAUGGGAUGAGGAAUGUCAAAGAGCUUUUGAUUUUUUGAAAUAUAGUUUAACUGUGACUCCUUUAUUAGCAUACCCAGACUUGAAGAAACCUUAUGUUUUAUAUACUGACGCGUCUAAUGAUACCAUAGGUGCAUGUCUUACGCAACCUUGCGAGGAAGAAGAAACUCAUUUAUCAUGUUUAAGAAAAGAAAAACCCAUUUACUUCUUAUCUCAUAAACUGUCAGAUACACAGUCUAGGUGGUCUACUAUUGAAAAAGAAGCAUUUAGCAUUCAUUAUGCAUUACAAAAAUUAGAUCAUUAUCUUCAUGGAGCUGAAUUUAUUAUCAUCAGAACUGACCACAAGCCUUUAAAGUACUUAUUGCUUUCGCCACAAUGUAACAAAAAAUUACAACUUUGGGCUUUAGGUAUUGCAAGUUACAAUUGCAAGAUUGAAUGGCUAGCGGGAACUGAUAAUACUAUUGCUGACUAUCUUUCAAGAAGGCCUCCGGGUCAAGAAGGCAAUCAAAAUCAAAGUGAAACAAUUGAAGUAGAUAUAAGUGACAAGGCUUUUCAAAUCAAUACUUUGAAUUCAAAUGAGUUCAAUCCAAAAGAUUUUGCAAGUUGUGACUAUAAAGAAGAUGACCAACUUAGCGUCAAGGAAUGUACGAUUCCUGGUUAUGACAUGAAAAUUGAACAAUCUUUAGACAUAGAACUUUCGGAAAUUAUUAAUCAAAUAAACACAGGUAAGGCUUCAAGAAGUGUUGAUAAUAAACAUAUUAUUAUCAAUGAUAUACUUUAUUACAUUUCUCACCCUGAUGAUGAUUUAAAGUUAAGGCUUUAUAUUCCAUUACAAUUACGAAAUGAGGUCAUCAAAAGUUAUCAUGAUAAUCUAAGUCAUUUAGGAAUCGACAAAUGUCAUGAUUCAAUUAGGCAAAAAUAUUUUUGGCCAAAGUUAUAUAAGGAACUUAAUUCCUAUAUUAAUUCCUGUGUUAUCUGUCAAUCUCAAAGUGCAGGUAAAACAAAACCUUUAUUACAAAUAUCUGAUAUACCACCAUUUCCAUUUGCUAAGAUAGGGGUAGAUUUAUCUGGACCUUAUCCUACAUCAUUGUCAGGAAAUAAGUAUAUUGUCAGCUUUGUUUGUCAUUACAGUGGGUGGCCUUUGGCUUUUCCUGUUCCAAAUAAAACUUCGGAAAAUGUGGUUCAUUUAUUAAUUGAAGAAAUAAUCCCAAACUUUUCUGUGCCGUUAGUUAUAGUGUCAGACAAUGGCGGUGAAUUCACCUCUAAAAUAUUUGAAGAAACUUUAAAAGAAUUAAAUAUAAGUCACAUAACAACUUCUUUUUAUCAUCCACAGGGAAACGCGAAAGUAGAAAGAUUUCACAGGACGCUUCAUGACGUCAUGGCAAAGAAAUUGCAAAGUGACGCGUCUACUUGGGACGUAUGCCUAAAUCAAACAAUAGCAGCUAUUAGGUUUCAAAAAAAAUGA